AUACGUAGGUGGCAAGCGUUGUCCGGAAUUAUUGGGCGUAAAGCGCGCGCAGGUGGUUCCUUAAGUCUGAUGUGAAAGCCCCCGGCUCAACCGGGGAGGGUCAUCGGAAACUGGGGAACUUGAGUGCAGAAGAGGAUAGUGGAAUUCCAAGUGUAGCGGUGAAAUGCGUAGAGAUUUGGAGGAACACCAGUGGCGAAGGCGACUGUCUGGUCUGUAACUGACACUGUGGCGCGAAAGCGCGGGGAGCAAACAGGAUUAGAUACCCUGGUAGUCCACGCCGUAAACGAUGAGUGCUAAGUGUUGGGGGGUUUCCGCCCCUCAGUGCUGCAGCUAACGCAUUAAGCACUCCGCCUGGGGAGUACGGUCGCAAGACUGAAACUCAAAUGAAUUGGCGGGG
rnacentral:rRNA from 1 species